UACGUAGGGUGCAAGCGUUUCCGGAAUUAUUGGGCGUAAAGAGCUUGUAGGCGGUUUGUCGCGUCUGCUGUGAAAUUUCGGGGCUCAACCCCGAACUUGCAGUGGGUACGGGCAGACUAGAGUGUGGUAGGGGAGACUGGAAUUCCUGGUGUAGCGGUGGAAUGCGCAGAUAUCAGGAGGAACACCGAUGGCGAAGGCAGAUCUCUGGGCCGUAACUGACGCUGAGGAGCGAAAGCAUGGGGAGCGAACAGG
rnacentral:rRNA from 1 species